rnacentral:rRNA from 1 species
UUGGAAAAGACGGCUUCGGCUGUCACUGAAGGAUGGUCCCGCGGUGCAUUAGCUAGUUGGUAAGGUAACGGCUUACCAAGGCGAUGAUGCAUAGCCGACCUGAGAGGGUGAUCGGCCACAUUGGGACUGAGACACGGCCCAAACUCCUACGGGAGGCAGCAGUAGGGAAUCUUCCGCAAUGGACGCAAGUCUGACGGAGCAACGCCGCGUGUGUGAAGAAGGUUUUCGGAUCGUAAAGCACUGUUGUUAGAGAAGAAGAACUGAUAGAGUAACUACUAUGAGCCUGACGGUAUCUAACCAGAAAGUGACGGCUAACUACGUGC